rnacentral:vault_RNA from 1 species
GGGCUGGCUAUAGCUCAGCGGUUCCUUCGACUGCAUUGUGAUUCAACUCACUCUCCCCAGAGUGGUUCGAGACCCGCGGGCGCUCUCCAGCCCUUUU